rnacentral:rRNA from 1 species
AUUGAACGCUGGCGGCAUGCCUUACACAUGCAAGUCGAACGGCAGCGCGGGCUUCGGCCUGGCGGCGAGUGGCGGACGGGUGAGUAAUGCAUCGGAACGUGCCCAGGAGUGGGGGAUAACGUAGCGAAAGUUACGCUAAUACCGCAUACGUACUGAGGUAGAAAGCGGGGGAUCGAAAGACCUCGCGCUCAUGGAGCGGCCGAUGUCGGAUUAGCUAGUUGGUGGGGUAAAAGCUCACUAAGGCGACGAUCGGUAGCUGGUCUGAGAGGACGAGCAGCCACCCUGGGACUGAGACACGGGCCAGGCGCCUACGGGAGGCAGCAGUGGGGAAUCUUGGACAAUGGGGGAAACCCUGAUCCAGCAAUGCCGCGUGUGGGAUGAAGGCCCUCGGGUUGUAAACCACUUUUGGCAGGAAAGAAAUCGCCUGUGCUAAUACCACGGGCGGAUGACGGUACCUGCAGAAUAAGCACCGGCUAACUACGUGCCAGCCGCCGCCGUAA